AUAACAAGCGGCUUUCACAAUGCGGCUCCUGUGUUUGGAUGUGUUUGUGCAGAGCGGGGACAAUUUCUUCCUCUCGCAUAAGGCCAUGAUAAAUCUACUACAAAACAUCAAAUUGGCUCCAGGAUUUCUCAUCUUGAUUGAAGCAGAACUGACAUACUCUAAUGCUUUAUCCAGUGGUGUCUACUAUGAAAUCAAGGUAAUGAAUACAAAAGAUAUGGAAAUGCACAUAAGAGUUGAUUUGUAUGUAUUUUCAAAUGUUUGCUAAGCUUAGCUGAAAUUCUUUCUUUCCCCACUGACUUCUAUAGUUUGGAAAAAAAUACUAUGAAAGUCAAUGGCUACCGUCAACUAAAUGAUUACCAACAUUCUUCAAAAGAUCUUCUUUCAUGUGUAGCAGAAGAAAGAAACUCAUACAGGUUUGGAACAAGCUGAGGGUAAGUAAAUGAUGACAGAAUUUUCAUUUUUGGGUAAGCUAAUGUAAAACACACGCCACAAGACUGACGCUUCCAAGCUAACAAAGAAUGUUCUCAGAAGUCUGGCUAAUGUUCUGGCAAGGUUCUUUCAAUUUUAGAAUUUAUUAACAAGUGUUCUUCCACUAGUGUUAUUAGAAUGGUCAUUCAAAGUUAUCUGGUCUUUAAAAUGUUUUCAAAACAUUAGCACAAAAACAUUAUUUAUACAUUGUUUAUGAAACUUUUUUCCCUGAAAUGUUUUAGUUAGAGCUAACCUUUUUUAUGCAAAAAUGUUCACAGAUCAUUCAAAAGUAACAUUUCCAUAAUGUCUGCAUAAUGAUCAAACUGAAUGUUUCCUUGACAUUUGCAAUACAAAGAAAAAAAAAUGUAAAAAACAAAACAAAACAAACAAACAAAAAAAAAAAAAACGCUUGAAUGUUAGGUAAAAAAAAAAAAAAAAAAAUGUAAAAAACAAAACAAAAAAAACAACCAACAAAAAAAAAAAAACGCUUGAAUGUUCAGGGAAUAUUCAUAUAUAUAUAUAUAUAUAUAUAUAUAUAUAAUCCUAUUUCACCCUAAUACAUCUAAUCUGAAUAUUUUGUAAUCUUUUAUUCUCAUCCUUAACUUUAUGUUCACAUUUUUGUUUGCAAUAUCCACUAUGUAUCUAUCACUUUUAUGCUUUGCCACAACUGUAAUCCUUCAUGGUCAUGCCAAUAAAGCUUAGCUGAUUUUGUGUCUGAUAAACAAAGAAAGAGCGAGGGAGAGAACUGAAUACACAAAUGAUAGUGAGAGAGGUUACUUAGCAACCACAGUGGUGUUAAGCUAAAACAAACCAUAACACCACUGUGCAAUGGUGUGAUUGAAUUCAGAGAUAAUCCGCCACAACACAUCUUCACCCAAAAGAACAUGUUGUACGUGAACAGAAAUACAAUGUGAUAUUAAAGCUAAAUACUCCAAGGUCUUUCAGUCAGAUGUUUGCAGCACCAGGGGAUAGAGAAAAAGCUGCAUCUCAUUUCGGCUUCCUUGCAGGUAAGACAUUAAUAAUUCAUUUGAUGCUUGCGCACCUGCAAUCUGGAGCCAACAAAGAGGUGUUGCGGUGUUAAAUUCACUAACAAAUAAAACUAAUCUUAUUGAAAUAAGUUAAAACACAAAUCCCAAAAACAGGUUACCCCUGAUUAAUAAAUGAUUAAUGAUAAACACAAAUGUGCUAAAAAUUAAAAUAAAAAUCUCAUGGCUUGUUUUAAAAGUUGAACUAAUUUUUCUAAAGUAUACAUUGGGGCGAAAUGAUGGAAACUAGUGGGAUGUGACACCAAAGACGCCCAAUUGCAUGUAUACAACCAUUACAAAUAUUGAACAUGAGCACCUUCUGUAUGCAAACCCUACUGUAAAAUGGAUUUCUGUGGACGGUAGGUCAUUUAUAGGCUUAUAUUCAAUAAUAUGGAAAUAAAACAAGCAACAUAUUGACUAUUUUAUGUCUAUGCAAUACUUUCAUAAGCAGUAAUGUCUUGUAGUAAUGUAACUAAUGUCUUUAAAUGUUCUUCAUUGGGGGGCUUUCAGUAAAUCAUAGUAUAUGUGAUUAAUUAGCAAUUAAUCAACAUAUUGUAAUUAAUCUGAGUAAAACUUUUUGAUUGACAGUGCUAAAAUAAAUACAAGUACAUAAGUAGCUGCAGGUUGUUGCCAUGUGGCCCUCUGUGUGUGUGUGUGUGUGUGUGUGUGUGUGUGUGUGGUACAUCAGGAGAAGUAGGUCACACCACAGCCGGAAAAUUAUGCAAUGCAGUAAGAAUGUGCCUUUAGCUGAAAGGGAGCUGUGAGAGAAAUAGUAGCUCUCACAUUAAUAACUGAGGGAAGGGUAACAACUGAUCCGGCAAGCUAAUGGAUGACAAAGACAAGCUGGGCUGCUCCAUUCAUAUAUCACACAAUCGAUCAAAUCUGCCUGUGCCAUUAAAAUACCAAAAGUAC
rnacentral:lncRNA from 12 species